rnacentral:pre_miRNA from 13 species
UGUAAACAUCCUACACUCAGCUGUGAUCCUUUGCGGCAGAGGCUGAGAGAAGGUUGUUUACU